UGGCAGGUUCAGGACAGAGGUUACUGUCCAGCAUUCUGAUGUAACAUUCCUGUUGAAAAGGAUCAAACAUGGAGAUAAGACUGAAAAUGAAAGAGUGUCAUUCAAACACUUGCUGAUGUUGGAUGGACUCUGACACAGAGGACAUCGUGGCUCAGUAAAGUGUCGCAUAAAUGUGAGUUCAUCUGCACCGGUGGUAAAGACGACUUAACGGAGCGUCUCUACGUCUACAGACUCCACUCACUGGACACUUUACACUCACAUUCUGAACGCUGUUUCUGAUUGGUCCACUCAUCUGAAUGAGCGCCGCCUCUAUCUGCCAAUCAAAUCAGUGCGGUCUGUGAUCGACAGGAGUCUGACAUGACUGAUGACGACCACAGCCAGAACGCCUUUCAUUCAUUCAUUCAUGAUCUGAACCUGCUUUAUCCUCACUAGGGUCAAAGGGGCGGAGCCUAUCCCAGCUACUUAAUGGCGAAGGCGGGGUUCACCCUGGACAUG